rnacentral:rRNA from 1 species
GACGAACGCUGGCGGCGUGCCUAACACAUGCAAGUGGAGCGACGAACCAGGCUUCGGCCUGGGGCAAAGCCGCGAACGGGUGAGUAACACGUGGGUAACCUGCCCUGAUGAUUGGGACAACCCGAGGAAACUCGGGCUAAUACCAAAUGUGCCCUUCGGCCAUAAGGCCGCCGGGAAGGAAGCUUCGGCCUCCGCAUCUGGAUGGGCCCGCGGCCCAUUAGCUUGUUGGUGAGGUAACGGCUCACCAAGGCGACGAUGGGUAGCUGGUCUGAGAGGACGAUCAGCCACACUGGGACUGAGACACGGCCCAGACUCCUACGGGAGGCAGCAGUGGGGAAGUCUUGCGCAAUGCGCG